GGGUUGUGAGGUUAAGCGACCAAGCGUACACGGUGGAUGCCCUGGCAGUCAGAGGC
rnacentral:rRNA from 1 species